GGAUUUCAUAGAUUUAAAGCAUCUACAUAUCUGUGUUUCACCAUUCUGAUAUCACAGUUUGACACCACCGCAAACAAGGAACGGACAUUUGUAGUUCAUCUAGUCCAAUCCAUCUGCUUAAGUGGAGUCACCUACAAAUGGUUGCUCAGGAUCACAUCUCUGCAACUUUUGAAUAUUUCUGAGGGUAUAGACUCCAUAAUCUCUCUGGGAAAUCUGACAGACAUCUGAAUGUUUUAUGAUAUUGAAGACUGCUUUCAAUAUUCUGAAAUUUUGCUGAAACCUUUCUCUAUUGCCCCUAAUUUAAAAUGCAAUAGACAAAAGAAACAUGUGGAUAUGUGGUUGGAAAAAAACAAACAAACAAGAAGCAGCCAGACUAACAGCUGUCCUCUAGUUUGUGCAAAUUUGCAUCUGCUGCACAGGACUUGAACUGAGGUGGCAGAAGGAUGCAGAAGAUGCUAUGUUGUAUUGUUAGUCCAGCCAUGUAAGUUUUGAAGAGGAGUCCUUAGAAAGAGCAAUCAUGGAAAAACUUAAACUCUUUCCUAGUUCCCAGCCUAAUAACCAAAUAAGGAAAAACUUGGAUCAGACUUCUUAUUGAAGACGUAGGGACAGAAACACUCUGCAGAAUGAAUCUUGAUAAUACAUGCAACAAAUCCAUCUCUCUUGAUCUAAAAUAUUCUUUUUAUUCCAUUACUACCCUCUGGAAGCGAGUAAACGUUGGUGCAGGUUAUUGUUUGGAGUCACCUGGAAUGGCACUGAAAUAUCUGUUGUGCAUGUAACUGCAGCCAUAUGCCAUAACAUACCGGAGGUUCUCUGUUCUCUUUCUAGCAUCAGUUUCUCUGAUAUGGUAUCAGUGCUUGUUGAAGAUCUUCUACCAUGAGGAGCUGUGAUUUUAAUAGUACCUAAAAAAUUGUUAGUUCUUGUGCAGAAGAGCUUGCCAUUUAAAUUGCAAAUAUAUAAGGAGAACAUGCAGUGAAACAUUCAGAAGCAAGAACACCCUUAUGGAUCCCAGUAGUCAAUCAGCUGUUACAACAGCAUAGCUCAUAAGGAAAUAUUUUCAGGAAAAUGUUCUAGACCUUGAAUACCAAGUGAAGUGAGUUUUCCACUUCCCAGUCCAUGAUAAGACCCUGAACCCUGGGAAAGGACAGGAGUUAAGGCAUAUCCUUGAUUUUAUCAAUUCCCUGUUGGCUCUAUUUUCAAACAGUUCCCUGUUCAGCAUGCUGCUUUUACAGAUUUAAUUCUGAGGAACAUAUCUUUUCAUAUGCCCUUUUAUGGAGUCCUGAGAUGGUUUUAUUGACAGUUGCAUGGUCAAAUUUUGUGGUAGAAAGAUCAUUUGCAACUGAGAUAUAACUGUCAAUCUUAUCAGUUAAACCAAUGGAAAUUUGGAACAACAGUAAAAUUACCCUGUUCAAAACUGGGCAGAGAUGAAAAUAUGUUCCAAAGUAUCUCAUUGUUCUUACAAGUGAAAUAUUUUUGUGACGUUCAUAUUCUACAUUUCAACCCACUCAAGAUUUUUCAGCAGAGACAAUUCUUUGUGAGUCUCUGAUAGUGUCUACCAAGCAGAUUUAGGAAUACCUAAAGCUAGUGAUAAUAUUUCUUGGUGAGAUAAAUCAUGAACAUAUAGAGAUUAGAUCUAACCUUUUGUGAUUGCUGGUGACUGUCCUUUUAAUUCCAGUUGCAGCAGGAUUUCACUCAGGAAUGCUGACAUUUCCCUGCUUUUUUACCAGAAGGAAAUUUUAGCAAAGAAGCAUUCAUUUUGAAUAUGACAUCUCAAAAAGGAAAUAUCAGAUAUAUAAGUUCACAGGCUGUUUAGAUACUGUAAAUUUUGAAUAAAUAGUACAAGAAGGGGAUAUGUUAUUCUAGCAACAAAAGGUUGUAACAAGUUCAGUGCUGCUGUUGUGUGGGUGAGCCAGAGAAGCAAGACAUUGUUAAUUCCCUGAGCAUAACAUCCUGAAGCAAAACAGCUGGAUUUUACUCUGUGUUUUUAUGUUAAUUGAUAUUUAUUCAGAAAGAUAUAGCAAUAUUGACAUAGCACUUUUGUUUAAAUGCAGAUUCCAUUGUGGGUUCGGUAGGAAAUACUCUGAAAUGUUGUAUUUGGCUGUAUUGAACUUGAGACAUGCAGUGAGUGAUUUGACUUCCUUAUGAUCAAAUGUUCAGCAGACAGCUAGAACCAUUACUUUUUUCUCAGACUCAUUAUGUUUAUGUGAAAUCAAUUUCAAAUGGUGUUUACAACAUUGAAAAUACUGUAUUGUUUCUUUUGUUUGUUUUUUUGUUUCUUUUUCCUUCAUCAUUCCCUAUCCACUAAAAAUUUCUUCACUCUUCCUUUCUUCUACAUCUAAACAUGUUAAAAGAAGUUUACCAGGAAUAUAUUUUUACUUUCUUGUAGAUAAACAGAGUGAUACAUCAAUAUAUAGUUGUAAUUAAAAUUGGAAAAACUGAAUUUAUUUGAAAAGGCUGAAUAAUUCUGAUGGAGGACUACUUUAAUAAUGUAGAUACAGUGUAUUUGCCUAUUUCUGUCAUUGUUGCCUCGCAAUCUUGCCAAUGGCAAGUCAAAAAUCUAUAUUUUAUAUUGAAAAUUAUUUAACAUUGAAAUAUUUGAUUCAGUCUGAAUCUGAAAGCAAAGGACACUAAGCUAGAUUUCUGAAUGAUGAUGUAGGUUUAUGUGAGGCAUGAAAUGUAGCUGUGGUCUGUAAUGAAGUUUACUUUCUAUUCACGAAACAUACACAGUAAUGAAUUUCCUUCAUUGCUAUGCAUCAGUACCUUGAUCCUGACCAGGGUGUAUCAUUUCUGGCAAAGAAAAGUGUAGUUCAGCCUCUGUAAUCUCACAUCUAUUUCCUCAGCAUUGCUAUCUUCUUUAUACAGACAUAUAUGGACACAUAUAUGAACACAUUCCCACUAGCAGAGUAAGCCACCCACUUGUGUAGAAAUGAGUAAUGCUUUGUAUCUGAUAAGUCCCAGACUGAAUUUGAGUUAGUUGCUUUAAGUAUCAGGCUAUGUGGAUCUUCAAGUAGACCCCAAGGUGUUUGACCACCAGAAUGGAGUGUCUGUUGAGGCAGAAUUUUAUGAUGGAACCAGAUUUAAUAAAGAUUAUGUGAAAAAAAAUAAAGUAAUUAAUAAGUUCUUUUCUAAGUUCACUUUUUAUUGCUAAGCUGUUUGGGAGUUUUAAUAUGUCUGUUCUUUCACACUUCAGCUUUCUUUAUCAUGCUACGAAAUCAGCUACUAAUACUGAUAUUUCAAUGGGAAAGAUAUGAUGUCACAAAGCCCAAGCAAAUACAAGGAUUUAAUUCAAAAAUAUAAACUCUGAAGAAAGAGGACACUACAGAAGUGAGCAAAGGUCACACAAAAGGAAGGAAAAAAUAAAGGCAAUUUAUUUAAGUUCAUGACAUAAGUUUUACACAGCACAUUCACCCGCCAGUUCCGUCAAACACUGUAUAUGAGAGUGCUUAAAACAUGUUACAAAGAAUUCUCCAGUGUCAUCACAGCUCAAUCCAUUCUUUUAUUCAGUCUGGCCCUUUAAAACUUUUCUGUUAUUUAUUCAGUCAUGUCCUUUUGUUUGUGUUCUAGCAGCUGGGAUUUGAUGUAUCGAUGUGUACUUAUGUAAGGAACAUUUACCACCACUUUGUCCUAGCGCUCUGCACACAUCAGGGUUUACUGCCAAAAUGGCAUGUUUUCUGGAAUGGAAAUAUUUAAUAUGGUCUAUUAAAAGAAAAAUGGUAUUUGGGGGCCUAUGUAAGUUGUCAUUACUAAUGCGGUAGCAAGAAAGAAACUCGAUUUUUUGAUUGCUGCUAGUUGUAAAGAAUAACUCUGAAUUAUUGUGUUGUUUUACUUAUUGGCUUUUUUAUAUGAAGUUCUGAUCUAAGGCCCCUUGAAGUUAGAGGAAAUUCACUGGACUUAACAAAUAUUGUCUUACCUUUCAAAUCUGGAAAGAGUGCAGGGCUUUUCAUACAUUCCUACUCUGUAUCACACCCAUCUUCAUAGCAUUUGCAUUGUUGUGGUGUUGAAUGCUCUUCCUACAGUGGUACAAGCUUUAUAACUACCUUCUGUCAUAUUUGUUUCUUCAUUUAGCUUUAGAGGCAGAAAAGUAUGAAGUGGAUUUCAUUCUUUUAGGUGAGGAUUUUUGGUGGUAGCUUAUUUUUCUUUAUUGUCUUCCUGGGGAUUUUUAUUCACUUACACAGAUUCUUACCUAUGCUUGAGAAGGCAAAGUUAAGCAAAUGAGAUCUAUUACAGGAGUUUGCAGUUAUUUAGGAUAGCUUAUUCUUUCAGACUUUCUUCAUCAGUACUAUAUUUAAAUGCAAAAGUUUUGUGAUGUUAGUAUAGAAGCAAGAAGAUAAAUAUAAAAUUGAUUCCCAAGCUGUAUUUAAGUCAAGUAAAUUUCACACCUCAGAAAGUGGAAAAAUGUGAGCAUAUCAUCUACGGGUACUAUGAAUACAAAGAAGCCUUCAGGUCUUGAAUGACAUUACCUGUACUCUCUAUGUUUUUGUGUGCGUGGAGUUUAUACCUCAAGGAAUUAUGAUUAAAAACUGCUAACCUGUUUUUAUAUUUUCUUUUCAGUUCCUGUUUCUGCAAUAGGAUAUCUGUUUUAACAGUAAAAAAUUCUGUACUUUCUGUGAAAAAAACAUCAUGUGGCUUUGAUGUAACUGAUUGCAUUCUUAGAGUAUAGCUGACAGAUUAAAUAGUCAUCUUUCAAGGAAAAAAAAAAGAUCUUUUCAUAAUUCUAUGUACGUAUCUUCUCUUCUUGUGUUAAACCAUAAAGCCAGAGUUGGUAAAUCCUUCAUGUACUACAGAUCUUCAGGGACAAAGGUAGAAGGCUACAUUGCAUUAGAC
rnacentral:lncRNA from 1 species